rnacentral:rRNA from 1 species
ACUCAAUAGAUACCCAGGUAGUCCCAGCAGUAAACGGUGCGCGUUUGGUGUGAGCAGAUUCGACUCUGUUCGCGCCGGAGCUAACGCGUUAAACGCGCCGCCUGGGAAGUACGAUCGCAAGAUUAAAACUCAAAGAAAUUGACGGGGGCCCGCACAAGCGGUGGAGUAUGUGGCUUAAUUCGAUGCAACGCGAAGAACCUUACCUGGGUUUGACAUGCAUCUCUAAGGAGGUGAAAGCUUCCGAGGGUAGCAAUACCCGAUUUGCACAGGUGCUGCAUGGCUGUCGUCAGCUCGUGUCGUGAGAUGUUGGGUUUAAGUCCCGCAACGAGCGCAACCCUUGUAUGCUGUUGCUAUGCUUACGCAUAGCUCUCUGCGUAGACUGCCCCGUGAAACGGGGAGGAAGGUGGGAUGACGUCAAGUCAGCAUGGCCCUUACACCCAGGGCUGCACACGUACUACAAUGCUCAGUACAAUUAGAACCUG